rnacentral:rRNA from 1 species
UUUUUUUUAUCCCCAAUAGCGGAGGAAAAGAAACUCACAAGGAUUCCCCUAGUAACGGCGAGUGAAGCGGGAAGAGCUCAAAUGUGAAAUCUUAAAGGGUUUCCCUAUACGAAUUGUAGUUUAAAGAAGUGUUUUCUGUUGGAGUUUCGGUAAAAGUUCUUUGGAAUAGGACAUCAUAGAGGGUGAGAAUCCCGUAUUUGACCGUUACUUUCCAGCUGUGUGAUACACUUUCAAAGAGUCGGAUUGUUUGGGAACGCAGUCCAAAAUGGGUGGUAAAUUUCAUCUAAAGCUAAAUAUUGGCGAGAGACCGAUAGCGAACAAGUACCGUGAGGGAAAGAUGAAAAGAACUUUGAAAAGAGAGUUAAACAGUACGUGAAAUUGUCAAAAGGGAAGCGUUUGACACCAGUGUUGUUUAGUUGAAAAUCAAUUCAAUAAUUUUUGAUUUUGAGUAGUAUUGACUUCAUCAGCUUGCUGCUUUCUUUUCAGAAAUUAUAGAAUGCACUUUUCAGUUAACAAGUCAACAUCAAUUUCUUUUGUUGUAAAAGGGUAAGAGGAAGGUGGCUUACGCUUCGGCGUAAGUGUUUAUAGCCUUUUACCUCCGCAAUCGGAGAGAUUGAGGACAGCAGCGUAGACUCUUCGGGGUUAGAUACACUUGUGCUAAGCUAUAGCCUUGUAUAGACAACUUGUUGACUAUGCUCAGUCAUGUAGCUUACUCGCUUGUGCUAUUUUACCUACACUUAGGAUGUUGACAAAAUGGGUUUAAACGACCCGUCU